UUGCUUGGUAGUUGUUCAAGACUUCUAAGCACUCUCAAAUAACGGGACGGGUGUAAUAUGAUGAAAACAUGGUAGAUACGCCGCUGGUGCUGCUUUGUGAUGAUUGUUGAUACAUGCUACACUUAGGAUGGACUCGUGCCUUAGCGACUUUAAAACUUGAAAGAUAAUAUUUGUAUUUAUCUGAUUUGUAAUAGAACAAAGAUUUCAAUGAUUCAAUAAAACAAAAUUAUUUUAUCCAUGGUUGUGAAACAAUGAUUCUGUUACAACACUCCCUGACGU
rnacentral:lncRNA from 1 species